AGUUUUGUGCAGUGGCAGUAUCAUAGCCAAUGAGGUUUAUCCAAGGUGCAAUUAUUGUUAAUUGAAAAAAAAAGUAAUUAAAGAGUUCAGCAGGGUGUUUGAAUUCAAGAAAACUCAAAAUUAAG
rnacentral:snRNA from 1 species